rnacentral:tRNA from 1 species
GAGAAAGAGACAUAAUAACUGCUAACUUUUAUAACCUGAUUAAAUUCAAGGCUUUCUCG